rnacentral:rRNA from 1 species
GGACUACCAGGGUUUCUAAUCCUGUUUGCUCCCCUAGCUUUCGUGCCUCAGUGUCAGGUGUUGUCCAGGGACUCGCCUUCGCCACUGGUGUUCCUCUUGAUAUCUACGCAUUUCACUGCUACACCAAGAAUUCCAGUCCCCCCUCCAAACCUCCAGCACGGCAGUAUUCAAUGCCAUUUCAGGGUUAAGCCCUGAGCUUUCACAUCAAACUUUCCAUGCCACCUACGCACCCUUUACGCCCAGUGAAUCCGAACAACGCUCGGGACCUCUGUAUUACCGCGGCUGCUGGCAC